CCAAAAUCCCUUCCAGCCGCCCCUCUUCCUUUUACAAAAUAAAUUUUCAGUUUCUCAACUCUCACGGUAGACUGCAGGUGACUAGUUAGCGGUCGAGAUAGUCCAGCGACUUAUUUCAAUCAGAGAAAGAGCACAACUAGUUUAAGGGGCAAGUAGGAGGAACUAGAGUUAUACGCGGCUAUUUGAGUCACUAUGAUUUCAAGUCUUUUGAUCUAGAUUUGGAGAGCUUUUAUGUGCUUAUGAAUUUGAUUUGUAUUAAUUAUGUUUGGACUUGGGAACUUGAUACUUAUGAUUAAGGAAGAAUGUAAGGUAUUUAUAUUAGAGCUAUGGUGAAAGUACUU